rnacentral:rRNA from 1 species
UACGUAGGGUGCAAGCGUUGUCCGGAAUUAUUGGGCGUAAAGAGCUCGUAGGCGGUUUGUCGCGUCUGCUGUGAAAACUCGGGGCUUAACUCCGGGCCUGCAGUGGGUACGGGCAGACUAGAGUGCGGUAGGGGAGACUGGAAUUCCUGGUGUAGCGGUGAAAUGCGCAGAUAUCAGGAGGAACACCGGUGGCGAAGGCGGGUCUCUGGGCCGUAACUGACGCUUAGGAGCGAAAGCGUGGGGAGCGAACAGG